AAGAGUUUGAUCAUGAGUCAGAUUGAACGCUGGCGGCAGGCCUAACACAUCGUGAAGUCGAGCGGAACGGCAGUAUUGAAGCUUCGGUGGAUUUACUGGACGUCGAGCGGCGGACGGGUGAGUAACGGCUGGGAACCUGCCCUGACGAGGGGGAUAACCGUUGGAAACGACGGCUAAUACCGCAUAAUGUCUUGAUUCCUUAGAGUCAGGACCAAAGGUGGCCUCUACAUGUAAGCUAUCGCGUUGGGAUGGGCCCAGUUAGGAUUAGCUAGUUGGUAAGGUAAUGGCUUACCAAGGCAACGAUCCUUAGCUGGUUGAGAGGAUGAUCAGCCACACUGGGACUGAUACACGGCCCAGACUCCUACGGGAGGCAUCAGUGGGGAAUAUUGCACAGUGGGGGAGACCCUGAUGCAUGCCAUGCCGCGUGUGUGAAUAAGGCCUUCGGGUUGUAAAGCACUUUCACCAGUGAGGAAGGUCGUGUACUUAAUACGUGCACGGCUUGACGUUAGCUGCAGAAGAAGCACCGGCUAACUCCGUGCCAGCAGCCGCGGUAAUACGGAGGGGUGCGAGGCGUAAUCGGAAUUACUGGGCGUAAAGCGCAUGCAGGCGGUUUGUUAAGUCAGAUGUGAAAGCCCGGGGCUCAACCUCGGAACCGCAUUUGAAACUGGCAGGCUAGAGUCUUGUAGAGGGGGGUAGAAUUUCAGGUGUAGCGGUGAAAUGCGUAGAGAUCUGAAGGAAUACCAGUGGCGAAGGCGGCCCCCUGGACAAAGACUGACGCUCAGAUGCGAAAGCGUGGGUAGCAAACAGGAUUAGAUACCCUGGUAGUCCACGCCGUAAACGCUGUCUACUUGGAGGUUGAGGUUUUAGACUUUGGCUUUCGGCGCUAACGCAUUAAGUAGACCGCCUGGGGAGUACGGCCGCAAGGUUAAAACUCAAAUGAAUUGACGGGGGCCCGCACAAGCGGUGGAGCAUGUGGUUUAAUUCGAUGCAACGCGAAGAACCUUACCUACUCUUGACAUCCAGCGAAGCCUUUAGAGAUAGAGGUGUGCCUUCGGGAGCGCUGAGACAGGUGCUGCAUGGCUGUCGUCAGCUCGUGUUGUGAAAUGUUGGGUUAAGUCCCGCAACGAGCGCAACCCUUAUCCUUGUUUGCCAGCACUUAAUGGUGGGAACUCCAGGGAGACUGCCGGUGAUAAACCGGAGGAAGGUGGGGACGACGUCAAGUCAUCAUGGCCCUUACGAGUAGGGCUACACACGUGCUACAAUGGCAGAUACAGAGGGCAGCGAGACAGCGAUGUUUAGCGAAUCCCUUAAAGUUUGUCGUAGUCCGGAUUGGAGUCUGCAACUCGUCUCCAUGAAGUCGGAAUCGCUAGUAAUCGUGGAUCAGAAUGCCACGGUGAAUACGUUCCCGGGCCUUGUACACACCGCCCGUCACACCAUGGGAGUGGGCUGCACCAGAAGUAGAUAGCUAACUAUUCGUGAGAGAGUUG
rnacentral:rRNA from 1 species